rnacentral:tRNA from 1 species
GUCCGGGUGGCCGAAUGGGGAAAGGCGAGAGCGCGCGCUCAACGGGCUAGACCCAAUGCAGGUUCGAGUCCUGCACCGGACG